rnacentral:rRNA from 1 species
AGUCCGGGGGCUCGCAGAGCACCGGCGAACGGGUGCGUACACGUGAGCAAUCUGCCGAUUUCUGGGGGAUAGCCGGCCCAACGGCCGGGUAAUACCGCAUACGUUCUCGAGGGGGAGUCCCCUUGGGAAGAAACCUCCGGGGGAAAUCGAGGAGCUCGCGGCCUAUCAGCUAGUUGGCGGUGUAAUGGACCACCAAGGCUAUGACGGGUAGCUGGUCUGAGAGGAUGGCCAGCCACAUUGGGACUGAGAGACGGCCCAGACUCCUACGGGAGGCAGCAGUGGGGAAUCUUGCGCAAUGGCCGAAAGGCUGACGCAGCGACGCCGCGUGUGGGAUGAAGCAUUUCGGUGUGUAAGCCACUGUUGCCCGGGACGAACAUCCUCUUUCGAGAGGACUGACGGUACCGGGUGAGGAAGCACCGGCUAACUCCGUGCCAGCAGCCGCGGUAAUACGGAGGGUGCGAGCGUUGUCCGGAAUCACUGGGCGUAAAGGGCGCGUAGGUGGCCCGUGGAAGUCUGCGGUGAAAGCCCGGCGCUCAACGCCGGGUCGGCCGUGGAUACUCUCGGGCUUGAGCUUACUAGAGGCAGAUGGAAUUCCGGGUGUAGCGGUGGAAUGCGUAAAGAUCCGGAAGAACACCGGUGGCGAAGGCGGUCUGCUGGGGUAAUGCUGACACUGAUGCGCGACAGCGUGGGGAGCAAACAGGAU